rnacentral:sRNA from 1 species
AAAUAAACGGGAUUGAAAUGAAAAUCCUUUUUGUAUGCUGAGGCCUUCCGAAGUACAAAAAGAUUUAAAUGUAAAGCCCGACUAACG